rnacentral:tRNA from 1 species
AGUUCCAUGAUGUAACGGGCAGCACUCUGGACUUUGAAUCCAGCGAUCCGAGUUCAAGUCUCGGCGGAACCU